GGCGAUGUCGAGUAGAUAUGAGCU
rnacentral:siRNA from 1 species